GCUGGAGGUAUCAGAAGUGCGAAUGCUGACAUAAGUAACGAUAAAGCGGGUGAAAAGCCCGCUCGCCGGAAGACCAAGGGUUCCUGUCCAACGUUAAUCGGGGCAGGGUGAGUCGACCCCUAAGGCGAGGCCGAAAGGCGUAGUCGAUGGGAAACGGGUUAAUAUUCCCGUACUUGGUGUUACUGCGAAGGGGGGACGGAGAAGGCUAUGUUGGCCGGGCGACGGUUGUCCCGGUUUAAGCGUGUAGGUGUGUGUUCCAGGUAAAUCCGGUUCACUUUAACACUGAGGCGUGACGACGAGGCACUACGGUGCUGAAGCAACAAAUGCCCUGCUUCCAGGAAAAGCCUCUAAGCAUCAGGUAACAUCAAAUCGUACCCCAAACCGACACAGGUGGUCAGGUAGAGAAUACCAAGGCGCUUGAGAGAACUCGGGUGAAGGAACUAGGCAAAAUGGUGCCGUAACUUCGGGAGAAGGCACGCUGACACGUAGGUGAAGUGAUUUACUCAUGGAGCUGAAGUCAGUCGAAGAUACCAGCUGGCUGCAACUGUUUAUUAAAAACACAGCACUGUGCAAACACGAAAGUGGACGUAUACGGUGUGACGCCUGCCCGGUGCCGGAAGGUUAAUUGAUGGGGUCAGCGCAAGCGAAGCUCCUGAUCGAAGCCCCGGUAAACGGCGGCCGUAACUAUAACGGUCCUAAGGUAGCGAAAUUCCUUGUCGGGUAAGUUCCGACCUGCACGAAUGGCGUAAUGAUGGCCAGGCUGUCUCCACCCGAGACUCAGUGAAAUUGAACUCGCUGUGAAGAUGCAGUGUACCCGCGGCAAGACGGAAAGACCCCGUGAACCUUUACUAUAGCUUGACACUGAACAUUGAGCCUUGAUGUGUAGGAUAGGUGGGAGGCUUUGAAGCGUGGACGCCAGUCUGCGUGGAGCCGACCUUGAAAUA
rnacentral:rRNA from 1 species